rnacentral:rRNA from 1 species
GGGACACGUGGUAUCCUGUCUGAAUAUGGGGGGACCAUCCUCCAAGGCUAAAUACUCCUGACUGACCGAUAGUGAACCAGUACCGUGAGGGAAAGGCGAAAAGAACCCCGGCGAGGGGAGUGAAAAAGAACCUGAAACCGUGUACGUACAAGCAGUGGGAGCACGCUUAGGCGUGUGACUGCGUACCUUUUGUAUAAUGGGUCAGCGACUUAUAUUCUGUAGCAAGGUUAACCGAAUAGGGGAGCCGAAGGGAAACCGAGUCUUAACUGGGCGUUAAGUUGCAGGGUAUAGACCCGAAACCCGGUGAUCUAGCCAUGGGCAGGUUGAAGGUUGGGUAACACUAACUGGAGGACCGAACCGACUAAUGUUGAAAAAUUAGCGGAUGACUUGUGGCUGGGGGUGAAAGGCCAAUCAAACCGGGAGAUAGCUGGUUCUCCCCGAAAGCUAUUUAGGUAGCGCCUCGUGAAUUCAUCUCCGGGGGUAGAGCACUGUUUCGGCAAGGGGGUCAUCCCGACUUACCAACCCGAUGCAAACUGCGAAUACCGGAGAAUGUUAUCACGGGAGACACACGGCGGGUGCUAACGUCCGUCGUGAAGAGGGAAACAACCCAGACCGCCAGCUAAGGUCCCAAAGUCAUGGUUAAGUGGGAAACGAUGUGGGAAGGCCCAGACAGCCAGGAUGUUGGCUUAGAAGCAGCCAUCAUUUAAAGAAAGCGUAAUAGCUCACUGGUCGAGUCGGCCUGCGCGGAAGAUGUAACGGGGCUAAACCAUGCACCGAAGCUGCGGCAGCGACGCUUAUGCGUUGUUGGGUAGGGGAGCGUUCUGUAAGCCUGCGAAGGUGUGCUGUGAGGCAUGCUGGAGGUAUCAGAAGUGCGAAUGCUGACAUAAGUAACGAUAAAGCGGGUGAAAAGCCCGCUCGCCGGAAGACCAAGGGUUCCUGUCCAACGUUAAUCGGGGCAGGGUGAGUCGACCCCUAAGGCGAGGCCGAAAGGCGUAGUCGAUGGGAAACAGGUUAAUAUUCCUGUACUUGGUGUUACUGCGAAGGGGGGACGGAGAAGGCUAUGUUGGCCGGGCGACGGUUGUCCCGGUUUAAGCGUGUAGGCUGGUUUUCCAGGCAAAUCCGGAAAAUCAAGGCUGAGGCGUGAUGACGAGGCACUACGGUGCUGAAGCAACAAAUGCCCUGCUUCCAGGAAAAGCCUCUAAGCAUCAGGUAACAUCAAAUCGUACCCCAAACCGACACAGGUGGUCAGGUAGAGAAUACCAAGGCGCUUGAGAGAACUCGGGUGAAGGAACUAGGCAAAAUGGUGCCGUAACUUCGGGAGAAGGCACGCUGAUAUGUAGGUGAAGUCCCUCGCGGAUGGAGCUGAAAUCAGUCGAAGAUACCAGCUGGCUGCAACUGUUUAUUAAAAACACAGCACUGUGCAAACACGAAAGUGGACGUAUACGGUGUGACGCCUGCCCGGUGCCGGAAGGUUAAUUGAU